GAUGAACGCUGGCGGCGUGCCUAACACAUGCAAGUCGUACGAAUUCUAGAUAUUAUUUUUCUCAGGAAUUCGGUCAUAUAGAUUUUCCCACGCAUCGCGUAAGCGCUAAGUUGGGAAAAUCUCAUAUGACUGAUAAUUGCUGAGAAAUCAUCAAGAGUUAGUGGCGGACGGGUGAGUAACACGUUAGUACCUGCCCCGAAGUGGGGGAUAACUGCCCGAAAGGGUAGCAAUACCGCAUGUGGUCACUUGUGACCAAAGCAGAAAUGCGCUUCGGGAGGGGCUUGCGUCUGAUUAGCUUGUUGGUGGGGUAAUGGCCCACCAAGGCGACGACGGGUAGCCGGCCUGAGAGGGCGACCGGCCACACUGGGACUGAGACACGGCCCAGACUCCUACGGGAGGCAGCAGUGGGGAAUAUUGCGCAAUGGGCGGAAGCCUGACGCAGCGACGCCGCGUGAGGG
rnacentral:rRNA from 1 species